rnacentral:rRNA from 1 species
AACGAACGCUGGCGGCGUGCCUAACACAUGCAAGUCGAACGUGAUUAGAGAGCUUGCUCUCUAUGAAAGUGGCGCACGGGUGAGUAACGCGUAGAUAAUCUACCUGAUGAUCCGGGAUAACACUUCGAAAGGGGUGCUAAUACCAGAUAAGCCCACAGGGUCCUUGGACUCUGCGGGAAAAGGAGGGGACUUUCGGGCCUUCCGUCAUCAGAUGAGUCUGCGUACCAUUAGCUAGUUGGUAGGGUAAAGGCCUACCAAGGCGACCAUAGCUAGCUGGUCUGAGAGGAUGAUCAGCCACACUGGAGCUGGGACACGGUCCAGACUCCUACGGGAGGCAGCAGUGGGGAAUUUUGCGCAAUGGGGGAAACCCUGACGCAGCAACGCCGCGUGAGUGAUGAAGGCCCUUGGGUCGUAAAGCUCUGACAGAGGGAAAGAAGUGUAUUGUGGCUAAUAUCCACGAUACUUGACGGUACCCUCAAAGGAAGCACCGGCUAACUCCGUGCCAGCAGCCGCCGUAAAAC